rnacentral:rRNA from 1 species
AACGCGAAGAACCUUACCUACCCUUGACAUGUACGGAAGCCACGAGAGGUCGAGGCGUGCUCGAAAGAGAGCCGUAACACAGGUGCUGCAUGGCUGUCGUCAGCUCGUGUCGUGAGAUGUUGGGUUAAGUCCCGCAACGAGCGCAAUCCUUGUCAUUAGUUGCUACGAAAGAGCACUCUAAUGAGACUGCCGGUGACAAACCGGAGGAAGGUGGGGAUGACGUCAAGUCCUCAUGGCCCUUAUGGGUAGGGCUUCACACGUCAUACAAUGGUCGGUACAGAGGGCUGCCAACCCGCGAGGUGGAGCCAAUCCCAGAAAGCGCGUCGUAGUCCGGAUCGCAGUCUGCAACUCGACUGCGUGAAGUCGGAAUCGCUAGUAAUCGCGGAUCAGCAUGUCGCGGUGAAUACGUUCCCGGGUCUUGUACACACGC